rnacentral:rRNA from 1 species
UACGGAGGGUGCAAGCGUUAUCCGGAUUCACUGGGUUUAAAGGGUGCGUAGGUGGGCAAGUAAGUCAGUGGUGAAAUCUCCGGGCUUAACCCGGAAACUGCCAUUGAUACUAUUUGUCUUGAAUACUGUGGAGGUCAGCGGAAUAUGUCAUGUAGCGGUGAAAUGCUUAGAUAUGACAUAGAACACCAAUUGCGAAGGCGGCUGGCUACACAAAUAUUGACACUGAGGCACGAAAGCGUGGGGAUCAAACAGGA